AACGAACGCUGGCGGCAGGCCUCAAACAUGCAAGUCUAGGGGGUGUAGCAAUACAUCACCGGCGGACGGGUGCGUAACGCGUGGGAAUGUACCUAUUGGUUCGGAACAACUGAGGGAAACUUCAGCUAAUACCGAAUGUGCCCGUAAGGGGAAAGAUUUAUCGCCAAUGGAUCAGCCCGCGUAGGAUUAGCUAGUUGGUGAGGUAAUGGCUCACCAAGGCUCCGAUCCUUAGCUGUUCUGAGAGGAAGAUCAGCCACACUGGGACUGAGACACGGCCCAGACUCCUACGGGAGGCAGCAGUUGGGAAUCUUGGACAAUGGGGGAAACCCUGAUCCAGCCAUGCCGCGUGAGUGAUGAAGGCCUUCGGUUGUAAACUAC
rnacentral:rRNA from 1 species